rnacentral:pre_miRNA from 1 species
ACAUACUUCUUUAUAUGCCCAUAUGAACCUGGGAAGCUAUGGAAUGUAAAGAAGUAUGUAU